UGAAAAGCCGCUUUUAACUUUUUAGUAUCAAUUUCUCCUCAAGUCCAUCGAAGACAUAAAAAUCAUCCAACUAUUUUGCCAUCAGCAAAGCAAUCAAUGCAAAUUUUUCAUCACCUACUUGCCAACUUAUUACAUAAAAGGAAAAAAAAUGGCAAAACCCAUAAACAAACAUGAACCUGAGGCACAAAAAGAAGACAUAUAUAUUACCCUUUAAAAGGAAUACAAUACAAGAUGAAGUAUAUUCAGUUCACAAGCAGAAAUACAGAAAAGACAGAGCACUUAUAGUGAAGCAGAAUCACUACAAAUAACACCUCAAUAUCAAGUACUAAGAAGAGAAGGGUUAGCAGUUGCAGUACCCACUUGGACUUCGAGGGCCUCCAGACGUCGCUCCAGCGUAUCCAGCUUCUCAUUGAGCGAAGCCAACUUACUCUUGGUAGUAGCCUCAAAUUGGAGGAGGAAUUCGAAGAGACGACGAACAUUGAGGGAAAUGUGAGAGAUGAAUUCGCGAUUUUCCCAAUCGGCUUGCACUGCUAUCCCUACAUUGACAGCGUUUGUUAUACCUCCUGCUCUUGCCAUUCUCUCCACUGCUUCGAUCUAAUUCUGUUGAGACCAAACAAUUCUUGUUAAUUUCUGAUUAUGUUUUGUUUUCUGCUCAGUAGUUGUUGGUCGGUUGACUUUGUUUUUUUACUUUUUCCCUAAAAUGCUUUUAUAUUAAUCUGAUCUUUGAAGGCAAGCUCCCAUUAUUUACCCCAAAAUUGACAUUCGUGUAACAACCUUAUUUUUU
rnacentral:misc_RNA from 1 species